ACUCCUACGGGAGGCAGCAGUAGGGAAUCUUCCACAAUGGGCGCAAGCCUGAUGGAGCAACACCACGUGAGUGAAGAAGGGUUUCGGCUCGUAAAGCUCUGUUGUUAAAGAAGAACACGUAUGAGAGUAACUGUUCAUACGUUGACGGUAUUUAACCAGAAAGUCACGGCUAACUACGUGCCAGCAGCCGCGGUAAUACGUAGGUGGCAAGCGUUAUCCGGAUUUAUUGGGCGUAAAGAGAGUGCAGGCGGUUUUCUAAGUCUGAUGUGAAAGCCUUCGGCUUAACCGGAGAAGUGCAUCGGAAACUGGAUAACUUGAGUGCAGAAGAGGUAGUGGAACUCCAUGUGUAGCGGUGGAAUGCGUAGAUAUAUGGAAGAACACCAGUGGCGAAGGCGGCUACCUGGUCUGCAACUGACGCUGAGACUCGAAAGCAUGGGUAGCGAACAGGAUUAGAUACCCCUGGUAGGAUAGCG
rnacentral:rRNA from 1 species